rnacentral:rRNA from 1 species
UGGGGAAUAUUGGACAAUGGGCGCAAGCCUGAUCCAGCCAUGCCGCGUGAGUGAUGAAGGCCCUCGGGUUGUAAAGCUCUUUCACCGGUGAAGAUAAUGACGGUAACCGGAGAAGAAGCCCCGGCUAACAUCGUGCCAGCAGCCGCGGUAAUACGAAGGGGGCUAGCGUUGUUCGGAGUUACUGGGCGUAAAGCGCACGUAGGCGGACUUUUAAGUCAGGGGUGAAAUCCCGGGGCUCAACCCCGGAACUGCCUUUGAGACUGGAAGUCUUGAGUAUGGUAGAGGUGAGUGGAAUUCCGAGUGGAGGGGUGAAAUUCGUAGAUAUUCGGAGGAACACCAGUGGCGAAGGCGGCUCACUGGACCAUUACUGACGCUGAGGGGCGAAAGCGUGGGGAGCAAACAGG